AACUGCUGGGCUAAAGUGAUCCUCCCAUCUCUGCCUCCCAAAGUGCUGGGAUUGCAGACAUGAGUGACUGUGCCUGGCCUGGCGUGGAGAUUCUUGAAUGGGAGAGUGAUGUAAUGGAAAGAGGUGUUCAGGUGUUCGAAUGGAAGGGUGGGGCUGGGGAUUGGAGGGCAGGAAGAGGGAUUCUUCUGUGUAGAUACAGCCACCACCUUUGUCAGGGCUGAUUCCAGGAUUACGGAGCUAGUUUCUUUCGGGCUGGAGUAAAACCAUAGUAGAAUAUGGUUUUGCUGCACACAGUGUGGUUCUUGCUGUGAACUCAACACCUAGAUGAAUAUUAGCUCAUUCUUUUCUUCAUUCUCUAAAAGUGCACUUGUACACCCAUUUUACAAAGUGGGAUGCUGAGACCAAACUUCCCGGCGGUGAGGGGUGUGAUUACGUUCAGAGCGUUUGCCCAGCGCUGUACUGGGUGCGAGGGGUGGUCCGCGGAGGCUGCCUGUGCCCCCACGCAAGCUCACCUCCUGUGGGUCCUGGAGACAGGCUGCAGAUCUCUACCAGCCAGGAGGAGACAGUCCAGGUCACACACUAAGACACGUGUGCUGAGGUUUGAGGGUGCCUUGUCGGUUCAGCGGGUACAGCUCUCGCAGUUUCCAGCUGCGGCCCCCCUCGCCCUCUGCCCUGCUGCAGGUGGAUUGGGUUGUCUGGCAUCUCAUCACACCUGAAGAUAACCUUGAGAGUAGUUUUGUGCAUCCCACGUUUGGAGAGACAUAGCCUGUGUUCAUUUCUGAGUUUCACAGAUAGGGAGGUUGAGGCCUCACACGUGACUUGCCCAAGGACACGUGAGUUAAAGGCAGCAGCAGAUCCAGGUUUCUGGACUUUCUCUGUAGGGCGAUGUUCUCAAGAAGAAGUCAAGGUCCACCCUUUGCCUACUUACUGUGUGGCUUUGAGCAAGUUCUUAACUUCUCUGAGCUUUUGUUUUCUUAUCUGCAAAAAGGGACUGAUUGCUGCUUUCCUUGCAAGAAGACCUCAGGGCCUGCCCAGGCCUCUCCAAGGUCUGGCUUGGCCACAUGGCCUCCUCCACUCGGACCAGAUGUGGUCUCUUUAGAGCCCUUGGUAGCCACACUGUUAGUGUCAUCCUGGCUGCUGUUUCUAUUCCCUUUUGUAUAUAUAUGUUUGUGGUGAGUCAUCGGUUAAAUUAAAAUAGUUUAAUAUCUCAAA